rnacentral:tRNA from 1 species
GCCUCUAUAGCUCAAUGGAUUAGAGCUAUCCCGUCCUAAGGGAGAGAUGGGGGUUCGAUUCCCUCUAGGGGCA